rnacentral:rRNA from 1 species
AGAUAUGAUCCAGAGUACCACGGGACACGUGAAACCCUGUGGGAAGCAGGAGGGACCACCCUCCAAGGCUAAAUACUACCUAGUGACCGAUAGCGUAUAGUACCGUGAGGGAAAGGUGAAAAGAACCCCGGGAGGGGAGUGAAAUAGAACCUGAAACCCUGCACUUACAAGCUGUGGAAGCACAUUUCUUGUGUGACCGCGUACUUUUUGUAGAACGGGCCAACGAGUUACGUUAAGUAGCAAG